GAGACACUAGUAAAAUUAGAUAUUACAAGUCUUUGUCAAGGAUUAAUUAUAGGUUUGAACCCUGUGUGUCUUA
rnacentral:tRNA from 1 species